CGGCGUGCCUAAUACAUGCAAGUCGAACGGUCUUUCUAUGGAAGCUUGCUUCCACUGAGAAGAUAGUGGCGAACGGGUGAGUAACACGUGGGUAACCUGCCCAUAAGAGGGGGAUAACAUCCGGAAACGGGUGCUAAUACCGCAUAGUUUUCUUGAUUGCAUGAUUGAGAAAGGAAAGACGGCCUUUGUGCUGUCGCUUAUGGAUGGACCCGCGGCGUAUUAGUUAGUUGGUGAGGUAACGGCUCACCAAGACGAUGAUACGUAGCCGACCUGAGAGGGUGAUCGGCCACAUUGGGACUGAGACACGGCCCAAACUCCUACGGGAGGCAGCAGUAGGGAAUCUUCCGCAAUGGACGAAAGUCUGACGGAGCAACGCCGCGUGAGUGAAAGAAGGUUUUCGGAUCGUAAAACUCUGUUGUCAGAGAAGAACAAGUUGGAGAGUAACUGCUCCAGCCUUGACGGUAUCUGACCAGAAAGCCACGGCUAACUACGUGCCAGCCGCCGC
rnacentral:rRNA from 1 species